rnacentral:rRNA from 1 species
CACCCGCGGUAAUACGUAGGGUGCGAGCGUUGUCCGGAAUUAUUGGGCGUAAAGAGCUCGUAGGCGGUCUGUCGCGUCGGCUGUGAAAACUCGGGGCUCAACUCCGAGCUUGCAGUCGAUACGGGCAGGCUGGAGUUCGGCAGGGGAGACUGGAAUUCCUGGUGUAGCGGUGAAAUGCGCAGAUAUCAGGAGGAACACCGGUGGCGAAGGCGGGUCUCUGGGCCGAUACUGACGCUGAGGAGCGAAAGCGUGGGGAGCGAACAGGAUUAGAUACCCUGGUAGUCCACGCCGUAAACGUUGGGCGCUAGGUGUGGGAUCCCUUCCACGGGUUCCGUGCCGCAGCUAACGCAUUAA